UACGGGGGGGGCAAGCGUUGUUCGGAAUUACUGGGCGUAAAGGGCUCGUAGGCGGCCAACUAAGUCAGACGUGAAAUCCCUCGGCUUAACCGGGGAACUGCGUCUGAUACUGGAUGGCUUGAGGUUGGGAGAGGGAUGCGGAAUUCCAGGUGUAGCGGUGAAAUGCGUAGAUAUCGGGAGGAACACCAGUGGCGAAGGCGGCUUCCUGGCCUGCAACUGACGCUGAGACGCGAAAGCGUGGGGAGCGAACCGG
rnacentral:rRNA from 1 species